UACGUAGGGCGCAAGCGUUGUCCGGAAUUAUUGGGCGUAAAGAGCUCGUAGGCGGUUUGUCGCGUCUGCUGUGAAAACCUAAGGCUCAACCUUGGGCUUGCAGUGGGUACGGGCAGACUAGAGUGCGGUAGGGGUGACUGGAAUUCCUGGGUGUAGCGGUGGAAUGCGCAGAUAUCAGGAGGAACACCGAUGGCGAAGGCAGGUCACUGGGCCGCA
rnacentral:rRNA from 1 species